rnacentral:rRNA from 1 species
GACGUAGGGCGCGAGCGUUGUCCGGAUUUAUUGGGCGUAAAGAGCUCGUAGGCGGCUUGUCGCGUCAAACUGUCGGAAAACCCGUCGGCUCAACCAUGUGGUCUGCAGUCGAUACGGGGCAGGCUAGAAUUCGGUAGGGGAGACUGGAAUUCCUGGUGUAGCGGUGAAAUGCGCAGAUAUCAGGAGGAACACCGGUGGCGAAGGCGGGAUCUCUGGGCCGAUAUUGACGCUGAGGAGCGAAAAGCGUGGGGAGCGAACAGG